rnacentral:rRNA from 1 species
CGGCAAGCGAAAAAGGGCACUCGGUGGAUGCCUUGGCAUCAGGAGCCGACGAAGGACGUGGGAGCCUGCGAUAAGCCCUGGGGAGCUGGCAACCAAGCACAGAUCCAGGGAUGUCCGAAUGGGGAAACCCGGCUGGGGUCAUGCCCAGUCGUACCCGCCUGAACACAUAGGGCGGGUGUCGGGAACCGGGGGAACUGAAACAUCUCAGUACCUCGAGGAAGAGAAAGAAACAUUCGAUUCCCCUAGUAGUGGUGAGCGAACGGGGAACAGCCCAAACCGGAGCCGUGCGAAAGCUGGCAGGCGUUGCGGCGCCGGGGUUGCGGGACCAUCCAGAGGGGGCUGCCACCCUCUCAGGGAGUUACCAAGUGCGCGUGUAGUCGAACGGGAUGGAAAGCCCGGCCACAGACGGUAAGAGCCCGGUAGAUGAAGCACGACGCACCUCCCGGAUGGGAUCCCAAGUAGUGCGGGGCCCGUGAAAUCCCGUACGAAUCUGCGAGGACCACCUCGUAAGGCUAAAUACUCCCUGAUGACCGAUAGCGGAUAGUACCGUGAGGGAACGGUGAAAAGAACCCCGGGAGGGGAGUGAAAGAGAACCUGAAACCGUGUGCCUACGAACCGUCGGAGCUCAUCUUCGGAUGGGUGACGGCGUGCCUUUUGAAGAAUGAGCCUACGAGUUCGCUGUCAGUGGCGAGGUUAACCCGUCGAGGGGAAGCCGGAGCGAAAGCGAGUCCGAAUAGGGCGUCCAGUCGCUGGCACGAGACCCGAAACCGAGUGAGCUACCCAUGGGCAGGUUGAAGCGAGGGUAAGACCUCGUGGAGGACCGAACCGUUGUAGGUUGAAAACUGCUCGGAUGACCUGUGGGUAGGGGUGAAAGGCCAAUCAAACUCGGUGAUAGCUGGUUCUCCCCGAAAUGCAUCUAGGUGCAGCGUUGCGUGUUCCGUACUGGGGGUAGAGCACUGUUUGGGCUAGGGGGCCUACAAGCUUACCGAACUCAGGCAAACUCCGAAUACCAGUACGCCACAACGCGGCAGUGAGACUGUGGGGGAUAAGCUCCAUGGUCGAAAGGGAAACAGCCCAGACCGACAGCUAAGGUCCCUAAAUCAAGGCUAAGUGGUAAAGGAUGUGGGAUCGCAGAGACAACCAGGAGGUUGGCUUAGAAGCAGCCACCCUUGAAAGAGUGCGUAAUAGCUCACUGGUCAAGUGAUCCUGCGCCGACAAUGUAACGGGGCUAAGCCUUGUACCGAAGCUUCGGGUUUCGCGAACACAUCUGGCGUGUAGGGGAGGCCCUGCACGUUGGAUUCGCGGAGCGGUAGGGGAGCAUCGAUACGCGGGUGAAGCGGCGGGGAAACCCAGUCGUGGACGCGUGUCGAGAGAGAAUGUAGGCAUGAGUAGCGAAAGGGGAGGGAGGAACUCCCCCGCCGAUUGACCAAGGGUUCCUGGGGAAGGUUCAUCCGCCCAGGGUAAGUCGGGACCUAAGGCGAGGGCGAGAGCCGUAGUCGAUGGAUAACAGGUUGAUAUUCCUGUACCACCAUCUCCGCGCUUUUGCCGAACGCACCGUGCUAACCGCCUCUACGGAGGUGGGACCCCGGUGCAAGUAGGCCACCGAAGGGGUGACGGGGAAGGCUAGGGGAUCCCGGGCGUUGGUUGUCCCGGGGUAAGCGUGUAGGCCGGGGUCCAGGAAAAUCCGGACCCCACACAAGGCCGAGGCGCGAUGCCGACCGAUGAGGGAAGUCCCUGAAGCCAUGCCCCCAAGAAAAGCCUCUAGGGAGUGGAGAUGGUGCCCGUACCCUAAACCGACACAGGUGGUCAGGUAGAGAAUACCGAGGCGAUCGAGUGAACUCUGGUCAAGGAACUAGGCAAAUUGGCCCCGUAACUUCGGGAGAAGGGGCGCCAUCGGUGGUGACGGACUUCGCGUCCCGAGCUGCUGGUGGCCGCAGUGACCAGGCCCAAGCGACUGUUUACCAAAAACACAGCAGCGUGCUAACUCGCAAGAGGAUGUAUACGCUGUGACGCCUGCCCGGUGCCGGAACGUUAAGCGGAGGGGUUAGCCCGAGAGGGCGAAGCUCCAAAGCCAAGCGCCGGUAAACGGCGGCCGUAAACACCGUUGCGGCUCCAGUGGGGUAACCCGCUGGAACAAACCCUGCUAUAUGCUGGAAACCCCGAGCAUCCGGCGGUACUCGUGCACGGGAACGUCACACCCCGGUGGUUCGAUACGUGAACCAGCGGAGGUGACGACGUGCGCAGUGACAACCCGUCCGGUGCGGACGAUCAGCAGGAAAGGCCCGGUCUUCGAGACUGGCUGGAUGUGAUCCCGUCUGACGUAGGCAACUACGUGGCGGGGUUCGUCGACGGAGAGGGAAGCUUCAACGUCCCAAUCCGUCGAGAGCGUGAUCGUGGUCUGCCGUUCCGAGUGGGACUGUCCUUCAACGUGUCCCAGAUCGGUGAUGACCUGCCGCAGUUACUGCGGCGCGUCUUCAUCGUCGGAACGGUGCGAGGUCGCGGCGAUGGCGUCUUCUACUACAGAAGUCACCAAGCCCGACGAUCUCAUCUCGCGUGUCUUCCCGUUCUUCCAGCGGUUCCCGCUGCGAGGGACGAAGAGACGCGACCUCGAGAUCUUCGAGGAGAUCGCGUGGCUCGUCCAGACAGGCCGGCACCUCACGCGCGAGGGCAUCGAGACGGUACUCCGUCUCCGUGCACCCAUGAACCGCGGAGGGAAGCGUCGGCGCAGCGAUGAAGCGAUCAUCGCAGCGCUCGAGGAGUGGGAAUCCUCAGAGGCCAUACGCAGGGCUCCCUCGUGAAGCAGAGGGAUGAAGAUAUGGUCCACGCCCCAUAGCGAUAUGGGGGUUCCGUGAACUAUAACGGUUGGAUACCACUAGCUACCGAUACCGGCCGUUGUAAAACCUGGCUAUAUGCUGGAACACCCCGCGCAUCUGGCGGUACUCGUUCAUGUCACACCCUCUCCGUAGGGUUCGCUCAAUCGGUAGAUGGAGCGGGAACAUGAGCAGUGACAAUCUGACCAGUGGGGACGAUCAGCAGGAAACUGCGAGCACACCGUUCGAUCCAUGGUGGGUCGUGGGGUUCGUGGAUGGAGAGGGUUGCUUCUCCGUCUCGGUCCAUCACAACUCACGGUUCGCGCUACGAACGAGGGGAUGGCAGAUCGCCCCUGUGUUCCAUGCCUACCAGCAUGAGAACCACGGCGAGAUCCUCCAUCGACUCCGAGACUUCUUCGGUUGUGGGCAUAUCCGCCCGAAGGGACCUCGAAGUUCCGUGUUGACGUACGCGGUCCGCGCACGUAGUGACCUGAUCGGGAGCAUCAUCCCGUUCUUCGAGCGGUACCCGCUUCGGAUAAAGAUGGGCGACUUCCGCAUCUUCGCUGAGGUAACACGGGCGAUGGAGCGGAAGGAGCACUUGACCGACGCGGGCUUCGAGCGCAUCAUCCGCCUUGCGUACUCGAUGAAUGAGAACGGCAAGCAGCGGAAGCGAUCACUGGAAGACAUCCUCGCAGGAUCCUCAGAGACUGUACGCCAGGGAGGGCUCGAUCUCGGAAGAGAAGAGCCCGGAAGAUACAGUCCGAUCCUCAUGGCGACAUGAGGAGUCAGGCAGAGAUGACCUGACCCGCUCUCCGGCGAGCCAGUCGGAGUAGGCGAGUAACAAGGAUGCCUAAGGUAGCGAAAUUCCUUGUCGGGUAAGUUCCGACCUGCACGAAAGGCGUAACGACUUGGGCACUGUCUCGACCAGAGACUCGGCGAAAUUGCACUGUGAGUAAAGAUGCUCACUACGCGCAGCAGGACGGAAAGACCCCGGGACCUUUACUGCAGCUUGGUAUUCGGAUUCGGUACAGCGUGUGCAGGAUAGGUGGGAGGCUGUGAAGCUCGGACGCCAGUCCGGGUGGAGCCAACCUUGGAAUACCACCCUCGUUGUGCUGGGUUCGUAACCUGGACCCGUUAUCCGGGUCAGGGACAGUGCCUGGCGGGCAGUUUAACUGGGGCGGUUGCCUCCUAAACAGUAACGGAGGCGCCCAAAGGUUCCCUCAGACCGGUCGGCAAUCGGUCGUUGAGUGUAAAGGCACAAGGGAGCUUGACUGCGAGACCGACAGGUCGAGCAGGUGCGAAAGCAGGGCUUAGUGAUCCGACGGUGGCAAGUGGAAGCGCCGUCGCUCAACGGAUAAAAGGUACCCCGGGGAUAACAGGCUGAUCUUGCCCAAGAGUCCAUAUCGACGGCAAGGUUUGGCACCUCGAUGUCGGCUCAUCGCAUCCUGGGGCUGGAGCAGGUCCCAAGGGUUCGGCUGUUCGCCGAUUAAAGCGGUACGCGAGCUGGGUUCAGAACGUCGUGAGACAGUUCGGUCCCUAUCCGCUGCGCGCGUUGGAGACUUGAGAGAGGCUGCCCCUAGUACGAGAGGACCGGGGUGGACGCACCUCUAGUGUGCGGGUUGUUCCGCCAGGAGCAUGGCCCGUUGGCUACGUGCGGAAGAGAUAAGCGCUGAAGGCAUCUAAGCGCGAAGCUUGUCUCAAGAUGAGGUCUCCCACUCCCUCGAGGAGGUAAGGCCCCCAGUAGACGACUGGGUUGAUAGGCCGGAGGUGGAAGCACGGCAACGUGUGCAGCUGACCGGUACUAAUAGGCCGAGGGCUUGCCGUA